UCUCUCUGGACACGGCUCUGGAGGCGGACGAGGCUCCUCAGGGUGGAGAUGUGGCGCGGUUGGUGGAGACGUGCGAGUGUCCGCUGGGAUACGCUGGACUCUCCUGUCAGGAGUGUGCUCCGGGGUUUUACCGUCAGGCCGUGUCCGAGCUCAACAUGAAGGGCAGAAAGCGUCCUCUCAUUCGGCCCUGCGUCCCCUGCCGGUGCAACAACCACAGCCUGUCAUGUGACCUGGACACGGGCGAAUGUCUGGGCUGCCAGCACAACACCGCAGGAGAGCACUGCCACGUCUGCGCCGCAGGGUAUUAUGGGAAGGUUCAGGGCUCCGUCAGAGACUGCUC